rnacentral:rRNA from 1 species
UACGUAGGGUGCGAGCGUUGUCCGGAAUUAUUGGGCGUAAAGAGCUCGUAGGCGGUGUGUCACGUCGGCCGUGAAAACCUGCAGCUUAACUGUGGGCGUGCGGUCGAUACGGGCAUCACUGGAGUUCGGCAGGGGAGACUGGAAUUCCUGGUGUAGCGGUGAAAUGCGCAGAUAUCAGGAGGAACACCGAUGGCGAAGGCAGGUCUCUGGGCCGCAACUGACGCUGAGGAGCGAAAGCAUGGGGAGCGAACAGG